AGUUUCGCAAAGAUGAUGACAGGAAUUUGGUAAGUUUUCCUUUUUAGUUUUCUAAUACGCUCGAAUGGAUUUUCCAUUGUUGAGGGACGAUUAAUUAUUUUAUUUUUCAAAUUCCAAGAACUGAAAAGUUCUAAUUUUUCUACUUUACUGGCUUUUCUUAUUUGAUUUGAAGGGGCAUGAUUAACACUAUAUCUUCAAGGGUUGUACCUUUGGCCAUUUACUCUACCUUCUGUGGUCACCAUUUAACCCACUCCAUCAACCGUACUGGCCUUUCUUGGAAGCUUCACAGGUUGUUUCCUUCAUCUCUUCAUGACUACUCCAUCAAGUCGACCUUCCAAGACUUAUUUAUGCGAGGGCAAGAAGAGGAGAAGGUUCACAUUUUAAAUUGGUUUUUACUUUCUGCUUUGUAGCCAUUAUUGAUUUUUAUGUAAGAAUGUAUUUGAAGGAG
rnacentral:lncRNA from 1 species